AUUGAACGCUGGCGGCAGGCCUAACACAUGCAAGUCGAGCGGAUGAAGGGAGCUUGCUCCUGGAUUCAGCGGCGGACGGGUGAGUAAUGCCUAGGAAUCUGCCUGGUAGUGGGGGAUAACGUCCGGAAACGGGCGCUGAUACCGCAUACGUCCUGAGGGAGAAAGUGGGGGAUCUUCGGACCUCACGCUAUCAGAUGAGCCUAGGUCGGAUUAGCUAGUUGGUGGGGUAAAGGCCUACCAAGGCGACGAUCCGUAACUGGUCUGAGAGGAUGAUCAGUCACACUGAAACUGAGACACGGUCCAGACUCCUACGGGAGGCAGCAGUGGGGAAUAUUGGACAAUGGGCGAAAGCCUGAUCCAGCCAUGCCGCGUGUGUGAAGAAGGUCUUCGGAUUGUAAAGCACUUUAAGUUGGGAGGAAGGGCAGUAAGUUAAUACCUUGCUGUUUUGACGUUACCAACAGAAUAAGCACCGGCUAACUUCGUG
rnacentral:rRNA from 1 species